AGGAUGAACGCUGGCGGCGCGCCUAACACAUGCAAGUCGAGCGAUCUUUUUCGAGAGAGCGGCGGACGGGUGAGUAACGCGUGGGUAACCUGCCCUGUACACACGGAUAACAUACCGAAAGGUAUGCUAAUACGGGAUAACAUAUGAGAGUCACAUGACUUUAAUAUCAAAGCUUUUGCGGUACAGGAUGGACCCGCGUCUGAUUAGCUAGUUGGUAAGGUAACGGCUUACCAAGGCGACGAUCAGUAGCCGACCUGAGAGGGUGAUCGGCCACACUGGAACUGAGACACGGUCCAGACUCCUACGGGAGGCAGCAGUGGGGAAUAUUGCACAAUGGGCGAAAGCCUGAUGCAGCAACGCCGCGUGAGCGAUGAAGGCCUUCGGGUCGUAAAGCUCUGUCCUCAAGGAAGAUAAUGACGGUACUUGAGGAGGAAGCCCCGGCUAACUACGUGCCAGCAGCCGCGGUAAUACGUAGGGGGCUAGCGUUAUCCGGAAUUACUGGGCGUAAAGGGUGCGUAGGCGGUCUUUCAAGCCAGAAGUGAAAGGCUACGGCUCAACCGUAGUAAGCUUUUGGAACUGUAGGACUUGAGUGCAGGAGAGGAGAGUAGAAUUCCUAGUGUAGCGGUGAAAUGCGUAGAUAUUAGGAGGAAUACCAGUAGCGAAGGCGGCUCUCUGGACUGUAACUGACGCUGAGGCACGAAAGCGUGGGGAGCGAACAGGAUUAGAUACCCUGGUAGUCCACGCCGUAAACGAUGAGCACUAGGUGUCGGGGAUCUUGCUGAA
rnacentral:rRNA from 1 species